AUUAUAGGAAUAUUUCUAUUUGCUACGUCCACGAGAAAGUCGUGUAUACAUCAGCGGUCUGGUAACUUCCAUGGUAGGGAUAAGGCUUUAAUGCAAUAGUAGAGGAGAAAUGAGAGAGUUCACACGCACAAUACAGAUAUUGCACCACGCGGUCAAGUGCCGAAGGUAUCCCAUGCUAAUCUAUACAAGAAUUUACAAAGUUAGAUAUCUGCCUUGUUUGGUUCCACGUUACAAGAACCUAUUUCAUUGUACAAUUCUGCGGAAUACUUUUCUAUUCAAUAUAAACAAGUAUGAGAAUAACAAAAUCGCGCAAUAAUUAAACCUAGUUGUUAAUUUUUCAGUAUGUGGCGGAGGAAGGGGCAUGAGUUUGAACAAUUUUUUUCUAUACACGUGUGUAACCGGCGGUUUCUCUUACUUUCCGAGAUACGAAAAUAUGCAAUAAUUGCAAGGAUUUUGAAUUCAAAGUUUUGUGAUUAUGUAGAUGUAGAAACAAUUUUAUUUCUGGAAACUGAGAUCUUAGACGUGCCGAAUUUAGAAAAGGACAAUGAAAAUGAAAGAGAUAGAGAGACUGAGAGUCGAAGCGUUCGGUAACAUAAAAUGCAAUGGGAUGAUGGUUUUAUGAUACAGAGAAGCAUCGUGUAUUUCUAGUUCACUAUUCAGCAAAUUUCCUUAGCAAACCAGCCUGCAGCUCAUAUACGGCACUUAGCGAACAUUUGUUUGCUAAUAAAAUUAUUAAAAUAGUAGAUAGUAAAAUUAUUAAAACUAUUCAUUUCGGGCAUUUUGUAAUGCUAGCUCUUGACUUGCGGGAGUCACCCUGUUACCAACCCGCCGUUUACCAGCGAUUAACUCCCUUACUCUAGUUCAAGAGUAUACAGCGCUACAGACGCGAUUUAUAAUUAGAUUUAUUAGUCAGCACACCAUGUGCAAACGCCAACCAACCCCAAACGAUCACAACAUUUGAUCAACCACGGGGAAUAAACAGUGAUGAAUGAAAUUCAUACCAAUAUACUUAUUACAUUUUUUUAAAUAAAAUGGGACCAAAUACGAUAUAAUUUGGAACAUAUUUGCUUAUUUAAUAAAUGAUAAUUAAAUACAUAUCAAUAAGUAACUGUAAUUCAAAAUAUAUCGUAUUUGAUCUCAUUUUAUUCAGAAAGCUCUCUCAAAUAUGUUAGUAAAAAUUUAAUUUAGAAAGAGUUAAAAAUAAAAAAAUUUCAUUUUUGAAUGAGUACCUACAUACAUUGUCUCAGCGAUAUUUGACAUUGAAUUAUGUUAUAUUACUCAACUACGACGGGUCGUCGAACUUCACGAAGCAUAGAGAGGCAUCUCUCCCCUGUGAAGGGGAUGUCGACCAUGCAAUUAGCGAGAGAUUCUUUUUCUGCAGAUAUAUCACGUCAGAAAUAUUAUUUGCAGUCUAUCUAUUGCAGUAAACUAUUGAAAUUACUAAUAAAAUGAAAUUUAGAUUUUAUUAUAACAAAAACAUUAUCGCGAGGAAAGUAAAUUUUGUG